CCAGACUCCUACGGGAGGCAGCAGUGGGGAAUAUUGCACAAUGGGGGAAACCCUGAUGCAGCGACGCCGCGUGAGCGAUGAAGUAUUUCGGUAUGUAAAGCUCUAUCAGCAGGGAAGAAAAUGACGGUACCUGACUAAGAAGCCCCGGCUAACUACGUGCCAGCAGCCGCGGUAAUACGUAGGGGGCAAGCGUUAUCCGGAUUUACUGGGUGUAAAGGGAGCGUAGACGGCUGUGCAAGCCAGAUGUGAAAGCCCGGGGCUCAACCCCGGGACUGCAUUUGGAACUGUGUGGCUGGAGUGUCGGAGAGGCAGGCGGAAUUCCUAGUGUAGCGGUGAAAUGCGUAGAUAUUGCGCAGAACUCCGAUUGCGAAGGCAGCAUACCGGCGGCGAUCUGACGCUGAGGCACGAAAGCGUGGGUAUCGAACAGGAUUAGAUACCCUUGUA
rnacentral:rRNA from 1 species